rnacentral:rRNA from 1 species
UACGAAGGGAGCUAGCGUUGUUCGGAAUUACUGGGCGUAAAGGGCGCGUAGGCGGUUAAACAAGUCAGGCGUGAAAGCCCCGGGCUCAACCCGGGAACUGCGCUUGAGACUGUUUUCCUAGAGUACGGUAGAGGUAAGUGGAAUUCCCAGUGUAGCAGUGAAAUGCGUAGAUAUUGGGAGGAACACCAGUGGCGAAGGCGGCUUACUGGACCGUAACUGACGCUGAGGCGCGAAAGCGUGGGGAGCAAACAGG